CCGCCACACCUAAUUCGAUGAACAUACUAAUCAGUAGCCUACAGUAGUUUUUUUUUUUUCAUUGAAAAAACCACCAUAUCUUCAAUCGUCUCUUUCAUCCACUAAGAGCAGCCAGAUACAUCAUCAGCCGCAAUACACCUAGUAGCUAACACGUAGAAUCUACACCAAGCUGCUAGCUUUCCUUUGAUAGAAAAACGAUGGAGCUUGUUGAUUCUACUACCCUUAGUAGCUAGCUGGGAGUUGAUGCCAUAGUUAUUUCUUUUCUUCCGAAAUCAUUUCAGCUCCUUCCUUCACGUUAAAAAACCAACAACUCCAUUAACACCAAAUGAACAAAGCUCCAUAGACGUAGCUCCACCAUAAGUUGAUCGGAGCUCCGGCGUUUUACCACCGAACUCACCAUUAAGAUCUGUUAGGAUUAGGGGUUUGUUAUUCAAGUUUGGAUGCGUCGAGUUUCUCGGUCGAGGGGUUUCAGUUCGUUGGCUUUAGUGUUCUAGUAAAUCUUGUGCUAUUGAAGAAACCAUGUUAAAAGAUUUCAAACGAGCUUGACUUUGCUGUAUUCACAAUGGUUUAUUAUUAACCCCAUUUCACAAGAAUAUCUCGGCUUUGUUCCAGUCCACCACCCCACCUCCUUAUAUGCUCAGCGCCGCACGCCACCGCCGUUUCUGACCAGCAGUCGAAAAUUCCAACCAGACGCCACCGCCGUUUUCGACAAGCUCAGGCGAUAACAGCUGCAUUUUUGUCAGCGGUCAGUGAUAUAGUGUCUCAGAAGAUUACUGGCAUUAAGAGACUUCAAAUUAGACGCCUUCUUCUGAAAGUGCUUUUUGGCUUUGCCUGUCUUGGACCAUUCAGGCAUUUUUUUUCACUUAUUGCCGGACAAACUUUUCAAGGGAAAGAAAGACACAAAAACUGUUGCAAAAAAGCCCUUGAAAGCAUAGAUGUUGCUGAUGAUGGCGCAGUUGAUCCUACGGAGUAUGAAGCUAUGGAGCAUCAAGUUGCUCAGCUAACAAGAACACUUAAUUCCUCGAAGGCUCGGAUGUUGGUAUGCAAGCCCAAAUUAAUAGUUUAUGAUGGAUAUGUUUAAAUGGAUAUGUAUAUUAUCUUUAAGGGUUUGAAUGUAGUUUUAGUUCGAAUUAGAAGUACUUUUAAGUUUAUAAUGUUUAAGUGUUUGAAUGAUGUUUAUGAUGUUUAAGUGUUUGAAUGUAGUUUAUGAUGUUUAAGUGUUUGAA